rnacentral:rRNA from 1 species
GACGAACGCUGGCGGCGUGCUUAACACAUGCAAGUCGAGCGGUAAGGCCCUUUCGGGGGUACGACGAGCGGCGAACGGGUGAGUAACACGUGGGUGACCUGCCCUUACGCUCUGGGAUAAGCCUGGGAAACGUGGGUCGUAAUACCGGAUAUGACUCCAUGACGCAUGUUGUGGGGUGGAAAGCCUUGUGCGGCUAGGGAUGGGCCUGCGGCCUAUCAGCUUGUUGGUGGGGUGAUGGCCUACCAAGGCGACGACGGGUAGGCCGGCCUGAGAGGGCGACCGGCCACACUGGGACUGAGACACGGCCCAGACUCCUACGGGAGGCAGCAGUGGGGAAUCUUGCGCAAUGGGCGAAAGCCUGACGCAGCGACGCCGCGUGGGGA